UAUCUAUAAAUUUUUUAUUUCCUUAGCACCUUCAAAGCCACACUCUUUAUAAGCUAUAUAGAU
rnacentral:tRNA from 1 species